rnacentral:rRNA from 1 species
GACGAACGCUGGCGGCGUGCUUAACACAUGCAAGUCGAACGGAAAGGCCCUGCUUUUGUGGGGUGCUCGAGUGGCGAACGGGUGAGUAACACGUGAGUAACCUGCCCUUGACUUUGGGAUAACUUCAGGAAACUGGGGCUAAUACCGGAUAGGAGCUCCUGCUGCAUGGUGGGGGUUGGAAAGUUUCGGCGGUUGGGGAUGGACUCGCGGCUUAUCAGCUAGUUGGUGGGGUAGUGGCUUACCAAGGCUUGGACGGGUAGCCGGCCUGAGAGGGGGACCGGCGACACGGGAAAGGAGAAAAGGGCAAGACUAGUACGGGAGGCAGCAGGAGGGAAUCUGGCGCAAGGGGCGAAAGCCGGACGGAGCAACGCGGCGUGAGUGAUGAAGGUCUUCGGAGCGUAAAAGUCUGUUAUUAGGGAAGAACAAAUGUGUAAGGAACUAUGGACGUCUUGACGGUACAUAAUCAGAAAGCCACGGCUAACUACGGG